rnacentral:lncRNA from 1 species
UGAGGAUGAACACGGAUGCGGCCAAUUUCAUUUUUGACAAAAAAACAUCUUAAAAGUGACGUUUUUUUGGCAUAUUUGAUAGAUUUUUCAUAUGUAAGCUUGAAUCAGUGAGUUUUUAAUGACUAAAUCAGUUAAAAUCUUUCACAUUAACUAAUCGAAUCAAUUGAAAUAGACACUUAAGUGUUUAAAAAGUGUCCAAAAACUUUCGUUAGAUGAACCUGAAAUUUGAGGCCAAAAUCGGCCCUUACCGGACGUACUCCUUUGCAUAUUUUUUGAAAUAGUGAAUGCAUUGUAUAUCAUCUUGUUUUAGUUCGUAGGAAACUCAUGUAAAAAUUUGAAAAGUG